rnacentral:rRNA from 1 species
CCAGCAGCCGCGGUAAUUCCAGCUCCAAUAGCGUAUAUUAAAGUUGUUGCAGUUAAAAAGCUCGUAGUUGAAGUUCUGAUCGUUCAGGUCCCCAGCCUUAGGCGGGGAUACUGACGGUCAUCCGCUUGCAAAUAUACGUUCGAUCUUCACCGGUCGGCUAUGUGAGUAAGCAUUUUACCUUGAGAAAAACAGAGUGUUCCAGGCAGGUUUGUCCGGAAUGCAUUAGCAUGGAAUAAUAGAACAUGACUGAAGUCUAUUUAUUGGUUUAAGGCUUUAGUAAUGAUUAAUAGGAACAGUCGGGGGCAUUCGUACUCAGCAGUCAGAGGUGAAAUUCUAAGAUUUGCUGAAGACGAACUAAUGCGAAAGCAUUU